AUUGAACGCUGGCGGCAGGCCUAACACAUGCAAGUCGAACGGUAGCACAGAGGAGCUUGCUCCUUGGGUGACGAGUGGCGGACGGGUGAGUAAUGUCUGGGAAACUGCCCGAUGGAGGGGGAUAACUACUGGAAACGGUAGCUAAUACCGCAUAACGUCUUCGGACCAAAGUGGGGGACCUUCGGGCCUCACACCAUCGGAUGUGCCCAGAUGGGAUUAGCUAGUAGGUGGGGUAAUGGCUCACCUAGGCGACGAUCCCUAGCUGGUCUGAGGGGAUGACCAGCAACACUGGAACUGAGACACGGUCCAGACUCCUACGGGAGGCAGCAGUGGGGAAUAUUGCACAAUGGGCGCAAGCCUGAUGCAGCCAUGCCGCGUGUAUGAAGAAGGCCUUCGGGUUGUAAAGUACUUUCAGCGGGGAGGAAGGCGUUAAGGUUAAUAACCUUGGCGAUUGACGUUACCCGCAGAAGAAGCACCGGCUAACUCCGUGCCAGCAGCCGCCAGUAACAC
rnacentral:rRNA from 1 species